GACGAACCGUCCAAACGUUAUUCGGAAUCACUGGGCUUAAAGGGCGCGUAGGCGGCCGAGCGGGUCGCGGGUGAAAUCCCCCAGCUUAACUGGGGAACUGCCCUCGAUACCACUGCGGCUCGAGGAAGGAAGGGGCAAUCGGAACUGUCGGUGGAGCGGUGAAAUGCGUUGAUAUCGACAGGAACGCCAGUGGCGAAAGCGGAUUGCUGGUCCUUUUCUGACGCUGAUGUGCGAAAGCCAGGGGAGCAAACGGG
rnacentral:rRNA from 1 species